rnacentral:lncRNA from 1 species
GGGGAGGGUGGGUGGGGCCUAGAAACCGCUCUCUGCUGGGCUCGAAUCCAGUGCUCUCAACCUUACUUUCCCCUUCUCUUCGGCCACUGCCCCUAGCCCAGAGCUGGCCAGAGUAGCUCUUCCGGAGAAGGACCGAAGGGCCGGGAAAAGGGAAGAAUCUCCAUCUCCGUUGCUUCUGCAGAGCAAAGGGUGCUUGGCUCCUGCAGACUCCCUCCCAUUCUCUACCGGCACCGACCUCAACGGUAAGACUCAGCCUCCUUUU